AUUGACUUUAUUUGGUUUUUAAUUGCAUGUGAAUUCAUAGAAUGUGUAAAUAAAAUAUACGCUGGCAACUCUUCGCAAUAACGUCAAAUUACAUGACUUGUCAAUUACAUUGGUAUUUCUAGAACACGCUCGUAAACAAAAUAGUUUUCAACCCGAAAUUUCCUAAUUACAAUUAAUAACAAUGUCUGAUAAACAGAAAGUAGAUCUUGGUCUAUUGGAGGAGGAUGAUGAAUUCGAAGAAUUCCCUACCGAACAUUGGGGUACGGAAGACGCUGAUGACGAAGACGUUUCAGUGUGGGAAGAUAACUGGGAAGACGAUGUUGUUCAGGAUGACUUCAAUCAACAAUUGAGGCAACAACUGGAAAAGCUUCGUGAGCAGAACUAGCUUAAGUUAAACUCAAUCUAACAUAGGCCCAUCACUCCAUUUAAACAAUAUUUUUGAUUGCACCACUAUCUAUAAGUUGUCGUACAUUUAAAUAAAUUAAGAGUUGUGUAUUGUAUUUGUUUUAUUUCUUGUGUAAUAUCACAAAAAAUAUUUUUAUUAAAAAAAAAUAAUAUUUAGAACAUUGUUUUAAAUACUAAGUUUAAUUAAAAAACAUUGUUAAACAUAAAAUGUUUUUUUUACAUAGUACAAAAGCUACCAAGCGUCACACAUCACACACAUAGUCACAGUCUGCCCAAUAUAAGUGGACACCGUAUCCAUUACAUGCCUGCAACACCAGGAGCAUUGAGAAUUGUAGGAACUUGGGCUACCUACACACCACAGAAACACCGAGUAACUUUCCCAAUCAGGCCGUUCCAUAUUUUGGACAAGUUUCUGCUGUGCAAUACCUUAAUAAAGAUGAUUACUUUAAUGGAACAUGAACAAAUAGAUUGGUUGACUGACUUCGGGACAGAGCAAUAUAGAGCUAGCCGUGCGAGAAACAGCUGACUCUGAAGUCCACACCUGCAACACGCAGCGUCUGCCCUUGAGUUUUCUUUUUGUCAUGAACAGAUAACCAAGACAACCCUUACACAAAAUCUUUUUUUUUUGAUGUAGAAUACUGUCAGCGCCAUCUAGUUUAUCUAUAAUAUAAAAAUGAGUCGCUGAAUGUGUUGCUAAGCGCAAAACUCGAGAACGGUUGGACCGAUUUCGCUAAUUCUUUUUUAAAAAUAUUCCUUGAAGUACGAAGACGGUUCUUACGGAGAGAAAAAUUCUUAAAAAAAAAAAUUUUUUAAUUUCCUGAAAAAGUCUAAAAACAACACUUUUCCAUACUCCCAUACAAAAGAUUUGUGAUAAUACUUAAAAGUCAAUUUGAACUUUAAUACCAUACGAUAAAUUUUGUGUUAGGCGAUACGAAGUUCGCCAGGUCAGCUAGUUUAAUAUAAUAAUAAAAUACGCCUUGAUACACUGUUUUUAUAAGGUUUUACUUUUUCGCGGAAUCUCGUCUUUUUAAUGUAUAAAUUGUUUUAUUGUAUGAUGAUACCAGAAAUAUCAAUGUAUAAUUAAAGUUUUUUUAACUAUCACACGGGAACUCUUUAAUUUUUCAGGAUCAAAAGUAUCCUAUGUGUUGACCAGAGAUAUAACCUACCACCAUAUAAAAUUUAAUUUAAAUCUGUCGUCGUUUCGGAGAUUAGCCCGUACAGACAGACAGAAAAAAAAUUAAAAAAAAAAUUAAA
rnacentral:misc_RNA from 1 species